rnacentral:lncRNA from 1 species
UAGUCCCCUGAAAUGUCUAUGUACUGUUUCAACAACUAACUAUAGGAGAAAAUGAUACAUCAUGGUUAAUACGCUUGGGAGUGAUGUUACUCAGGCUAGCUGACUGGUUAAUACGCUUGGGAGUGAUGUUACUCAGGCUAGCUGAUGGUUAAUACGCUUGGGAGUGAUGUUACUCAUGGCUAGCUGACGUCAUGCCAAUAAGAGG